rnacentral:rRNA from 1 species
GACGAACGCUGGCGGCGUGCUUAACACAUGCAAGUCGAACGGAAAGGCCCUGCUUUUGUGGGGUGCUCGAGUGGCGAACGGGUGAGUAACACGUGAGUAACCUGCCCUUGACUUGGGAUAACUUCAGGAAACUGGGGCUAAUACCGGAUAGGAGCUCCUGCUGCAUGGUGGGGGUUGGAAAGUUUCGGCGGUUGGGGAUGGACUCGCGGCUUAUCAGCUUGUUGGUGGGGUAGUGGCUUACCAAGGCUUUGACGGGUAGCCGGCCUGAGAGGGUGACCGGCCACAUUGGGACUGAGAGACGGCCCAGACUCCUACGGGAGGCAGCAGUGGGGAAUAUUGCACAAUGGGCGGAAGCCUGAUGCAGCAACGCCGCGUGCGGGAUGACGGCCUUCGGGUUGUAAACCGCUUUCGCCUGUGACGAAGCGUGAGUGACGGUAAUGGGUAAAGAAGCACCGGCUAACUACGUG